UACGUAGGGGGCAAGCGUUGUCCGGAAUCAUUGGGCGUAAAGAGCGCGUAGGCGGCCCGAUAAGUCCGCUGUGAAAGUCAAGGGCUCAACCCUUGAAUGCCGGUGGAAACUGUCGGGCUAGAGUCCGGAAGAGGCGAGUGGAAUUCCUGGUGUAGCGGUGAAAUGCGCAGAUAUCAGGAGGAACACCGGUGGCGAAGGCGGGUCUCUGGGCCGAUACUGACGCUGAGGAGCGAAAGCGUGGGGAGCGAACAGG
rnacentral:rRNA from 1 species